ensembl:lncRNA
UUUUUCCCAUGUCUCACCAUCCACCACUCCGCUGGGACUGAUCUUCCUCAGACCUGGAUAGUCCUAGCUCAGGUGUGCUGCUGUCUGACAUUCCAACCAAAAGCAUUCAAAAUACACCUGGGGAAGGUCCUCCAUCGAGCACUGUUACAUGGGUGGGGCAGGGAAAUUCCCCACAGUUAAAUAUCUGCCCCCACCCCCCAACACCACCACCACCAGCCUAGCAUUGGCACGCAUGUUGUCUGUAUCGCCACCCACCUCUCAUCGUAUCCCACUCUGCUGAAACUGAUCUUCAUGGCACUUGGAUAGUCCUGCCUCAGGUGUGCUCUGUCUCUGAUGCUACACCCAGCCCUCUCCCCGUGUCAGCUCCCCACCUCCAGAGGAUAGCAGCGUUCACACCUGGGUCGGCUCUGGCCCCGCACAACACCUCCCCCAAUCCCUUCCCCUGAGCACAGUCGCCUCGGUCUUCACCUUAAUCCCCAUUUUAGCAAAACAUCUCAAUCCAGCACUGUUCGUUAGCAACACAGAAACCCAUGAAAGAUGGACGGAUACAUAGAUGGGUGGAUGCAGAGAGAGAGAGGGAGAGAGAGAGAGAGAGACUAAGAGUGAAUGAGAGAAAGAGAGAGAAAUGGGAAGCCUUUCAGUUAUAUUACUGUAACAAUGAAACCUAGUCAACCAGACGGAGGACUGUACAGGUGACACUAUGAACUGUAUUCAAAAAGAGAGCUCAGCUUCCCCUCCCCUGGUGGAAACGGAUUCUGAAAAGGAUUAGGUCCUGAUCUGGCCCGGACCUCCAGACGGCCAGAACGUGGUGUUAAGGCGCUGGAGCCAGCCAGCCCGUCAUCAUUACAACUCUUUCAUCCCUUUGUUUUGUCCCUGCGGCAUACUGCGGCCAGCGUGAUUAAUUAAAAUCACACAGCUCUCUUGAUCUGCCCAGAGAUAAACAUUUGUUUUGUUAAAAGCCCUUCGGGAAGUCCUAUGAGAAUUUUUUCUUUUUUUUUUAUUCAUUUAACUUCAUGAUCAUCUUGAUAGUCAUUGCCAUUUUCACCCUUGUGUUUUGAGAGGUCCUUGAGCAAUUCCUCUGGUAGUGGUUAACUCAGACUACUUCACCUCUCCUCUGAGUCUCUGUGAAUAAACCACUCUGAAAAACGAAUCACAAAUGCAAAUGCUAGCUGAUGCUGUUACCAUGGUGGCUGAUAUUAAUACUCAGUUAACGAAAUGCUGCCCAGACCGAACAAAGAACAUCUGCCUAGGGACUCAUAGAAGAAGAAAAUAUUUGCAUGAGGUAAUGAAGAAAAAUAAUACAACCUGUGCCAAUGCUUAUUAACUUCUGCUUAAAUGUCCUUCAAUUACC